rnacentral:rRNA from 1 species
CGGGGGGAGCAAGCGUUGUUCGGAUUUACUGGGCGUAAAGGGCGCGUAGGCGGCCUCCGCAAGUCGACUGUGAAAUCUCCGGGCUUAACCCGGAACGGUCAGCCGAUACUGCGGGGCUAGAGUGCAGAAGGGGCAACUGGAAUUCUCGGUGUAGCGGUGAAAUGCGUAGAUAUCGAGAGGAACACCGGUGGCGAAGGCGACAUCCUGGACCGGUAUUGACGCUGAGGCGCGAAAGCCAGGGGAGCAAACGGGA